rnacentral:lncRNA from 1 species
UUCAGUACCGGCCUUACGUAAGUCAUCCAAAACCACAAUCCAGUUUUGAAUGCCACAGUUGAGUUGCUGCCAACUAGCUCGGGCUGGCGUAGAAGGUCGAGACCGAUACCCUGACCACAAGUACCAUAGUUGGAGUUCCCUGAUAGUUGGAUGGGGCCGCGACCAUGAUAGCUCUUGCCCGGUGCACAUGGAUAUUGCUUGUUGCUCUCUUCACAGUAGUCACCUGACGUCCCGUUUACCGCGUCUAUCUGGCAGAAAUCUAAACGUAGAGACUUGUAUAUAUGAAACUAAGUAAUUUUUUGUUUUUAGUAAAAUAAUCGAUCAGAAUCCAAAUCUUAAGAUACCUCAAAAAAAACAUUAGUUCACAAUCUACUAAAUUUUAUAUGUAGCCGUUUCAGAACGGGGUAAACUCAAGAUCUUUAAUUUUUAUUUUAGUAUAUCCACAAAAAAAAAAGGAAUAAAGGGUUUAGUUUUUACGUACUUCCGGUCACGUAGGUAAAGUGAGCAAACAUGGUAGCGAUCUCGAGGCUGUUAACAGAGCUAGUGAAGUCAAAGGUAUCAUUAGCGGCUUUAAGGAAAGACUCACGAGUGUAGAAUCUUUUUCCGGCGCAGUCGUUACUUGCUUUGCUAAUAAUAUCGUUAAAGAACUGUUGUGUCACGAUCCUGUCAACCGGAACUCUACUUCGUCUGCAAGGACCUGAUCUGCAACCGGAACCACAGUAUAGGUCGUUGAUUCCGCAAUAACCAAUCUGACUGCAGCAGAGGAUCGGAGAGCAGCCGCAAUACGCCUGGCCAGCAGUUUGAGAGUAGAAACCGAAUAGGCAGAUGAGAAAAAUUGAAGAGACUUUUGUAAGAGCCAUGUUUUUGUGUUAUUGUUUGUGGUUGAGAACGCAGAGUACCGACUAUCAUAUUGUUUUGUAAUUUCAUUGUAGCGAUAUAAUUUCAUCUGAAUAAAUUAUUUCUACUGUUUAUAUUUUUAUUAUUUAAUAACACACGGCUUUGACUUUGAAUUUUUGCUCAAAGACUUUUAUAUGGUUGGUAAUUGAAUUUUUAUAUUUUUUCUUCGAACAACACAAAUAUGUCUAGUAACUGAAUUUGCUGACGUUUGUAGUAUGAUACAUCUACUAGAGGAUUGAAGAAUACAGCAAAAUAUCAACAUUAAAAAAAAACAUAUAUAUAACAAAUUGUAGUUAACUAACUAAUGGUGUAUAUGAGUUCAUUUUGUUGAAAGUUAACCGACUUCACUCUUUUUGGAGUGGAGCAAACAAAGCUUAAGAAAAUAACAAUUCUAUAUAUCAUACUAAACUUUAAAGAUACAUGACCUUUCCGCAUAAUAAUAAGAAACCAGAACUUCAAAGGUUCCAUUAUGUCUAAUCUUAGUUUAAAAGUUUGGCCAAACUCGGUCAAUUGAAAGCCAACAUCUUUUUGACUUGGUCGUCCCAUUACCAUCCAUCUUUAGUGAAUUUUUGAACAUUGUGACUGACUAACUAUUACUAUCAACACAGUUGUGUUGGUUUACCAUUCAGAUCAAUUUGGCAACACGGUUCACAAAAAUAUUGCGCCAAAAAGUCAACAGACAUUUUAGUUAUUAUCUUUCAUUUCGUUACAUUGUUAAUACAACAUUAGUAUCAUAUGAUAUAUUUAUCUCUAUAUGCAUGAUAUCUUAUUCUUUUAGGUCAAACGUUUUUGUUUAAGAUGAAUAGAGAAUACAUCUUUAACAAGAGAGGUUAUCUCCAGGUUCAACCCCAAGCUUGCCACAAUAGUCUCGGUAAUACUCAAUCCUUUUGGCAACAGUUGCAGAAUCUCCUCCGCUACACUCCAUACCAUUUAUAGCCCUGAUCGUCGCCCCAAAACCCUGAUUGAAAUUCUGGCGAACAUUAGUGGUCCAAAACCAGAAAGCUGUCUUGAAAGCAAGAACUGGAUCUUGAGCCACUUUCUCGGGUGAUGUCAAUAAGUUUUCGUUUAGCUCUCUGCCACAGAGACCGUAGUUGUAGUUCCAAGAGAGCUGGAUCGGACCACGGCCAUAAUAACCCUUUCCUUGUGCACAAGGGAAGUCUGUGUUGUCUUUGUCGCAGUAGUUCUCGGCCUUGGCUGGUCCAUCAAUCUCCUCAAUGUAGCACAUGACUGGUAUAAUCAAAUAGUUACCAAAACGGAUUUAGUGGUGGCAUAUAAUAUGCAUAAAAAAAAUUAAAUCAAAACCAAACCAAAGUUUUAUAUAAUAUGAUCGGUUAUAGUAUUUUAAACCAAUUAAAUUGGAAAUAACAAAACCCCGUUACAAUGAUCUUUAUAUAUUAGAAAAAGAGACAUAUAAAUUAUAAUUAAUAAAUUAAUGUAUCUUUAUCCACAUUAAUCGAAUUGAAUUCAAAUUUUUGCCCAAAAAAAAAACCAGUUAUUAACGUUGUCAUAAAUUUUCAACCCCGAUAAACCAAAAAAAAAGAAUGAAACAACCAGACCGAACCUAAAUAACCAAAUGUCCAAAAACCAAAGAGAGAUUUACGUACAUUCGGUUUCAUGGGUGACGUGAGCGAAGAAGGCAGCGAUCUCGCGUUUGGAGAUUGAAGCACCGAAGCUCUGGUACGAAUUAGCUGCGGCGAUGAAGGCGUUGUGAGAGUAGAAUCCUUUACCUGCACAAUCAUCUCUUGCUUGGUUUAUUAUAGAGUUAAAGAACUCAGGUGUCACCGUUCCUUCAAGCGAAUCAACAUCUCCGCCGCUGGCGUCAACACCACCUCGACAUGGGCCCUCACGGCAGCCAUCGCCGCAGUAAUCAUCCGUCUGACCGCAGUAACCCCAUUGGCUGCAGCAGAAGUCAGAGGCACAGCCACAGUUUUGGGAGGUCACAGGUUUGGAAACGGUCAGGAUCAAGACAAGGAGAGUUGGGAGAAAAAGGGUGAUCGUGUCUUUUCUUGUGGUGGAUUUGGCGUAAUUCGCCAUCUUUGUUCGUGUGUGUGUGAGUCUGAGAGAGGUUUAUUAGCUUUGUGUUUUAUAGUGGAGAUCAGCUGAUUGUAACAGUGAGGGACAAUGUUGGAGCCGUUGUGGAAAACAAGUGUCUACUAAUUUCUAAGUCAACGUCAACUUAUGUAGAUUUUUUGUUCUGCCCCAUUCGUUACUUAGGAAAUUUUCCACACAAACAUCAAAAUAUUUCAUUUACAUAUAAUAAGAAUUCAGAAUAUUUUUAUCUUUAAUCUUUGGACAAAAGUUAAUUACUUUGGUAAGAUUAAAUUUUGAAAGGUAUUUUAAUAUGUUUCCCUUCAACAUAUCAAACAGAGGAGAGGAUCGGAGAAGACGAGAAAGAAAAAAAUAUAACACGAGAUUUUGCUAUAUUCAAGAGAAUCCUUGCUACACCUCCGUCAACUCUACACCAACGGUUCACUAUAAUCUUCUCAGAGGGUACACAUCAUCAUCGAUUCACUAUUCAAGAGUUUGUUCUUAUGUAGAAAACAGAGCAGUACAGAGCUAAACAUCGUUGGUUACAACUUCUGUAUAAGUCGUUUUAUUAAUCUUUUGGUAACGUGAUUUCAGUUUCACAAUAUUACUACAACAACUUUUGUCAACAUCACUUAUUAUUUCACCUUUAAUACUCCUAUAUGUCCGAAGAGAAUUUUAGCAAGUGAGGUUGGCGCCAGGGUCAACACCAAGCUGACCACAAUAGUUUCUAUAAUACCCAAUUUUUGCAUUCACCCCACCUACAUUCCGACCGUCACACUCCAUACCGCUAAUGGCUCUUACGGUGGCUCCAAAUCCCUGGUUCAAAACAGGCCUCACACUCGACAUCCAAAACCACAAAGCCGCUCUGAAAGCCACAAUUGGGUUACUGCUCACCAGCUCGGGCUGGCGUAGAAGGUCGAGGCCGAGACUCUGGCCGCAUGGUCCGUAGUUGAAGUUCCAUGAUAGUUGUAACGGACCGCGACCAUGGUAGCUCUUACCCGGUGCACAUGGAUAUUGACGGCUGCCCUGGUUGCACAAGGUACGUGACGCUCCGCCUAUCUCUUCUAUGUAGCAGAAGUCUACACAUACAAAGAUGCAAAUGAGAAACAUUAGUUAAUUUUGGAACAAACGGACAAAUUAAAUAAAAUCAGUUGACAUAAUCUCCAAGGUUUGAGGCAAUUAAUCUCUUACGUCCUAGAUAAUGAUUAUUCAAAUGUUCAUAUGACAUAAAAUUUAGCAAUUAUUUCAGACGCAAGUGUAGAGAUACAAAUGUUGCUUUGAGUUUUAAUGAAUAUCAUACUAAUUGUUUUAGAUGUCACAAUCUACUAAUGUGUUAUGUGUAUAUUUUGACCAAUAUAGAUGUACCCUCGAAUAUGCAUGGUAUAUAAAAAAGAGCAUCGAAAAAAAAAACAAAUUCUUACGUCCGGUCUGGUACGUGAAAUG